UACGUAGGGUGCAAGCGUUACUCGGAAUUACUGGGCGUAAAGCGUGUGUAGGUGGUUUGUUAAGUCUGAUGUGAAAGCCCUGGGCUCAACCUGGGAAUGGCAUUGGAUACUGGCGAGCUAGAGUGCGGUAGAGGGUAGUGGAAUUCCCGGUGUAGCAGUGAAAUGCGUAGAGAUCGGGAGGAACAUCUGUGGCGAAGGCGAGUCUCUGGACAUAUCCUGACGCUGAGGCGCGAAAGCCAGGGGAGCGAACGGG
rnacentral:rRNA from 1 species